rnacentral:tRNA from 1 species
GGCGAGAUGGCCGAGCGGUCUAAGGCGUUGGUUUUAGGCACCAAUCUCUUCGGAGGCGUGGGUUCGAAUCCCACUCUCGUCA